GGUUCCAUAGUGUAGUGGUUAUCACGUCAGUCUUACACACUGAAGGUCGCCGGUUCGAUCCCGGCUGGAGCCA